AGACCCGAAACCCGGUGAUCUAGCCAUGGGCAGGUUGAAGGUUGGGUAACACUAACUGGAGGACCGAACCGACUAAUGUUGAAAAAUUAGCGGAUGACCUGUGGCUGGGGGUGAAAGGCCAAUCAAACCGGGAGAUAGCUGGUUCUCCCCGAAAGCUAUUUAGGUAGCGCCUCGUGAAUUCAUCUCCGGGGGUAGAGCACUGUUUCGGCUAGGGGGCCAUCCCGGCUUACCAACCCGAUGCAAACUGCGAAUACCGGAGAAUGUUAUCACGGGAGACACACGGCGGGUGCUAACGUCCGUCGUGAAGAGGGAAACAACCCAGACCGCCAGCUAAGGUCCCAAAGUCAUGGUUAAGUGGGAAACGAUGUGGGAAGGCCCAGACAGCCAGGAUGUUGGCUUAGAAGCAGCCAUCAUUUAAAGAAAGCGUAAUAGCUCACUGGUCGAGUCGGCCUGCGCGGAAGAUGUAACGGGGCUAAACCAUGCACCGAAGCUGCGGCAGCGAACGUAUCACCCAAGACAACUUUACGGAGUUGACGAUUGACGGAGCGAAGCGACGUCAAAGCGUUCAUUAAAGUCGAGUUGGCUUAGGGAUACGUUCGUUGGGUAGGGGAGCGUUCUGUAAGCCUGUGAAGGUGUGUCGUGAGGCAUGCUGGAGGUAUCAGAAGUGCGAAUGCUGACAUAAGUAACGAUAAAGCGGGUGAAAAGCCCGCUCGCCGGAAGACCAAGGGUUCCUGUCCAACGUUAAUCGGGGCAGGGUGAGUCGACCCCUAAGGCGAGGCCGAAAGGCGUAGUCGAUGGGAAACGGGUUAAUAUUCCCGUACUUGGUGUUACUGCGAAGGGGGGACGGAGAAGGCUAUGUUGGCCGGGCGACGGUUGUCCCGGUUUAAGCGUGUAGGUGUGUGUUCCAGGUAAAUCCGGUUCACUUUAACACUGAGGCGUGACGACGAGGCACUACGGUGCUGAAGCAACAAAUGCCCUGCUUCCAGGAAAAGCCUCUAAGCAUCAGGUAACACGAAAUCGUACCCCAAACCGACACAGGUGGUCAGGUAGA
rnacentral:rRNA from 3 species